AUUGAACGCUAGCGGGAUGCCUUACACAUGCAAGUCGAACGGAGUGGCGAACGGGUGAGUAAUGCCUAGGAAUCUGCCUGUUAGUGGUGGAUAACGUCCGGCAACGGGCGCUAAUACCGCUUCCUAUCACAUGAGCCUAGGUCGGAUUAGCUAGUUGGGGGGGUAAAGGCCUCCCAAGGCGACGACCCGUAACUGGUCUGAGAGGAUGAUCAGUCACACUGGAACGGAGACACGGUCCAGACUCCUACGGGAGGCAGCAGGGGGGAAUAUUGGACAAUGGGCGAAAGCCUGAUCCAGCCAUGCCGCGUGUGUGAAGAAGGUCUUCGGAUUGUAAAGCACUUUAAGUUGGGAGGCGUUACCAACAGAAUAAGCACCGGCUAACUUCGUGCCAGCCGCCGCGGUAAUUC
rnacentral:rRNA from 1 species